GAGAAGAGCUUGCUCUUCGAUUCAGCGGCGGACGGGUGAGUAAUACCUAGGAAUCUGCCUGGUAGUGGGGGACAACGUUUCGAAAGGAACGCUAAUACCGCAUACGUCCUACGGGAGAAAGCAGGGGACCUUCGGGCCUUGCGCUAUCAGAUGAGCCUAGGUCGGAUUAGCUAGUUGGUGAGGUAAUGGCUCACCAAGGCRACGAUCCGUAACUGGUCUGAGAGGAUGAUCAGUCACACUGGAACUGAGACACGGUCCAGACUCCUACGGGAGGCAGCAGUGGGGAAUAUUGGACAAUGGGCGAAAGCCUGAUCCAGCCAUGCCGCGUGUGUGAAGAAGGUCUUCGGAUUGUAAAGCACUUUAAGUUGGGAGGAAGRGUACUUACCUAAUACGUGAGUAUUUUGACGUUACCGACAGAAUAAGCACCGGCUAACUCUGUGCCAGCAGCCGCGG
rnacentral:rRNA from 1 species